UACGUAGGUGGCAAGCGUUGUCCGGAUUUACUGGGCGUAAAGGGCGUGCAGGCGGUCUGUUAAGUGCAGGGUGAAAGCUCCCGGCUCAACUGGGAGAGGUCCUUGCAUACUGGCGGACUUGAGGGGGGUAGAGGAAAGUGGAAUUCCCGGUGUAGUGGUGAUAUGCGUAGAUAUCGGGAGGAACACCAGUGGCGAAGGCGACUUCCUGGCCUGUUCUUGACGCUGAGGCGCGAAAGCUAGGGGAGCAAACGGG
rnacentral:rRNA from 1 species